rnacentral:misc_RNA from 1 species
GAUGAAGAACGUAGCGAAAUGCGAUACGUGAUGUGAAUUGCAGAAUUCAGUGAAUCAUCGAAUCUUUGAACGCACAUUGCGCCUGCCAGCACUCUGGCAGGCAUGCCUGUUCGAGCGUCAUUUCAACCAUCAAGCCCUAGGCUUGCGUUGGAGCCCUGCGGCUGCCGCAGGCCCCUAAAAGCAGUGGCGGGCUCGCUAUCACACCGAGUGCAGUAGAUUACUCUUCGCUCAGGGCGUGUGGCGGGUUCCAGCCGUGAAACCCCCUACUUCUCAAGGUUGACCUCGGAUCAGGUAGGAAUACCCGCUGAACUUAAGCAUAUCAAUAAGCGGAGGA